rnacentral:pre_miRNA from 1 species
CCAUCAAAGAGACUGUGAAAUGUGUAAUUUUAAAAGAACAUAUCACAGCCACCUUUGAUGAGCU